rnacentral:lncRNA from 1 species
ACCCGAUCCUGACCAAGUUCGGCCGUGCCUCCCUCCUCAGUCAGCUGGACUGACACUGCCCUCAGCCACGUGGAGCCUGAGGGGCCCGAGGUGCCCACUACUCACCUGCCGCUACCUCGAGAGACACAGGGCAUAAUAGUUACAGUUUACACCUUUUUAUUGCUGAGUGGGAUCCCAUUGUAUGAAAUAGGACAAUUUGGCCACGUGUUGAUGGACAUUUUGCUGUUUCCAGGAUUGGACUGCUAGAAGCAGCGGUGCAAUGUCUCCAGGACCCAGGGAGCUGAGCAGGAGAGGGUGCUACCGCCCAAGGGGAAAGGGAUGGAAAGCAAGAGAGCUUCCUGGCAGAGGAGACCUUUGAGCUAUGAUUGGAUUCGAGAUAUCUCUUGGGGACUGCAGGGCUCCCAGGCCACAGGAGGACAACAAGUCCAGAGCCCAUGUCAUCAGACUUUCUCAAGUCACAGGCCAAAUUGGAGAGGCCACAUGCCCGAAGCCACCCAGAGGGGUCAAGCAAAGCCAGGACUCCAGGCAGCAAAUCUUCCUUAUGUCCUUCCUGCAUGUGAGGCCCUGAGCAGAGUGCCAGGGAUGAGGAGGGACAGACAGAGCAGCAGCUGGCCUGACCGCCCAGUGGCAGAUGUGAGCAAGUUAUCAACUCUAGCACAACAGGAGAGCCCUUACCUGCAGCUGGGGAGACCGGGGACCUCCUGGCUGAAGUGACCUUGAAGCCAAGGCCUCAAAGCUGAAGAGGAAUGUGUUUUCCCAAGAUAAAUGCAAAGGCUGAGAUUCAAGAAAAAAACAG